AUGCAAGUCGAACGCGAAAGUCCCCUUCGGGGGACAAGUAGAGUGGCGCACGGGUGAGUAACACGUAGGUAAUCUACCUUUGGAUUGGGAAUAACCACCGGAAACGGUGGCUAAUACCGAAUAAUGCAGCGGCACCUAAUGGUGACAGUUGUUAAAGCGGGGGAUCGCAAGACCUCGUGUCUGAAGAGGAGCCUGCGGCAGAUUAGCUAGUUGGUAAGGUAACGGCUUACCAAGGCGAUGAUCUGUAGCCGGCCUGAGAGGGCGGUCGGCCACACUGACACUGACAUACGGGUCAGACUCCUACGGGAGGCAGCAGUCGGGAAUUUUGGGCAAUGGGCGAAAGCCUGACCCAGCAACGCCGCGUGAAGGAUGAAAUCCCUCGGGAUGUAAACUUCGCAAGAACGGGAAGAAUAAGUAAGAGCUAACAUCUCUUAUGAUGACGGUACUGUUUGUAAGCUCCGGCUAACUCCGUGCCAGCAGCCGCGGUAAUACGGGGGGAGCAAGCGUUGUUCGGAUUUACUGGGCGUAAAGGGCGCGUAGGCGGCACCGCAAGUCGACUGUGAAUCUCCGG
rnacentral:rRNA from 1 species